AGCUUUGCGCAGUGGCAGUAUCGUAGCCAAUGAGGUUUAUCCGAGGCGCGAUUAUUGCUAAUUGAUAAGGGAUUUGAAUACACAUUUCCCCAAAGAAGAUACACAAAUGACCAAUAAAUACAUGAAGAGCUACUCAACAUCACUAGU